AACCAAAAAGAACACACCUGAAAUACUGACUUUUCAGACCUGGUGGCAGUGAAGGGGAAUUGGAUUGGUCGUUCUCAGAACAAGGAGCCGGAAUUGACGCACAGAGCAGUAGUGUCCUUGUUGGAGUGGCUGUGGCAUGAAUUCCUUGAAGAUCUCUGGAGAAAACAGAAAGAAACUGAAACGCUCUGCCUUUGCUUUCCACUUUUUAGCUUUGGACAUAACUGAAAACAUCCCCAAACACUGAUCUAAGUUAAUCAUCUCUGAAGAGUUGCGGAUCCACUGAGUAUUAAAGCAAACCUUCCUUCUAUGUGAGCCAAAAAAGAGAAAAACAGCCUGCCAAGCACCUGUAAAGAGAUGGCUAUCAUCAUAUGGGAAUUUGAAGAGCUGCUAUAUGGCACAUUCGUGAUCCAAAUGGGAGAGGAUCAACUGUUGUGAUGUCCCAGAAGGCUUUAUAACAGAGUAAACAAGAGGGGAAAAUUUUAACAGCUUGUUGUCUGUGCUUGCACACUAGAUUUCCUUGUAGUUACUGUAGAGAAAUCCAAAACAAACAUGCAGAUAGUUCUUUGAAAAGCCCCCAAAUCAGGUAUAGAGGCUCAGACCAACGCAGUAAAAAGAUUAUUUUAGUCUCAGAUUCUCCAACCUAUCGAUGGUCAGUCUUUUAGAAAGAGCAAGCAGUUGAUAGUGAAUUUAGGUUCUGAACCACCAUUUGGCAAAGA
rnacentral:lncRNA from 1 species